CAACCGUAAACUAUGCUCGCUAGGUGUCAGGCAUGGCGCGACCGUGUCUGGUGCCGCAGGGAAGCCGUGAAGCGAGCCACCUGGGAAGUACGGCCGCAAGGCUGAAACUUAAAGGAAUUGGCGGGGGAGCACAACAACGGGUGGAGCCUGCGGUUUAAUUGGACUCAACGCCGGACAACUCACCGGGGACGACAGCAAUAUGUAGGCCAGGCUGAAGACCUUGCCUGAAUCGCUGAGAGGAGGUGCAUGGCGUAGACGUCU
rnacentral:rRNA from 1 species